rnacentral:rRNA from 1 species
AUUGAACGCUGGCGGAAUGCUUUACACAUGCAAGUCGAACGGUAGAGGGGGCAACCCCUCGAGAGUGGCGAACGGGUGAGUAAUAUAUCGGAACGUGCCCAGUCGUGGGGGAUAACGUAGCGAAAGUUACGCUAAUACCGCAUACGAUCUAAGGAUGAAAGCGGGGGAUCGCAAGACCUCGCGCGAUUGGAGCGGCCGAUAUCAGAUUAGGUAGUUGGUGGGGUAAAGGCUCACCAAGCCAACGAUCUGUAGCUGGUCUGAGAGGACGACCAGCCACACUGGAACUGAGACACGGUCCAUACUCCUACGGGAGGCAGCAGUGGGGAAUUUUGGACAAUGGACGCAAGUCUGAUCCAGCCACUCCGCGUGCAGGAUGAAGGCCCUCGGGUUGUAAACUGCUUUUGUACGGAGCGAAAAGGUCUCUCUUAAUACGAGGGGCUCAUGACGGUACCGUAAGAAUAAGCACCGGCUAACUACGUGCCAGCCGCCGCCGUAA